AUGGUGCUCUCAGCACAAAAAAACGGCCUCAUUAAGGGUUUAGCGGCUGACCUUAUUGAGGGAGGUGUUGGUAUCCUCCAAUAUGCGGAUGAUACGGUGGUUUGUUUUGAACAUGAUAUUGAUAAAGCUAUCAAUGUCAAACUUUUGUUGUAUCUAUUUGAGCUCAUGUCAGGAUUGAAAAUCAAUUUUGACAAAAGUGAGAUUUUUACUAUUGGAGGGGAUAACGAGACUGACUCAGUUUAUGCGGACAUGUUUAAUUAUCAAGUGGGCACCCUGCCCAUGAGAUAUUUGGGUGUUCCUGUUACAUAUUCUACUCUUAAGAACAUAGAUUUGUAUUUUCUGGAAGGGAAAAUGAUUAAAAAAUUGGAUGCCUGGAUUGCGUAUGCAGCAUUAUCAGGAGCCAGACUUACUUUGUUGGGAUCCAGCCUGGAUGGGAUUCCAUCUUAUCUUAUGUCGAUGUUUCUUUUCAAUAAAACCUUUAUUGAAAAAAUGAAUAAACAUCGCAGAAGAUUUUUCUGGAGAAAAAAGAAUAAGAAACAUGGAUACCAUAUGGUGAAGUGGGAUAGAGUAUGUCGCUCUAAAAAAAUUGGGGGUUUGGGGAUCAAGGAUCUUCAUAAGCAGAACAUUAGUCUGCUUGUUAAAUGGUGGUGGAAACUUGAAAAAGGUGAUGGCCUGUGGCAGCGUAUUGUGAGGGCCAGAUAUUUUAGAAACAAAACAGUAGCUGAUAUACAGACCCGUUUCUCGGAUUCUCCAUGCUGGAAAGCUAUCAUGAAAGUUAAAGACACUUACAUGGCUGGAAGAAAAGUUAAUAUCAACAGUGGUAACUUGGCAAGAGUCUGGCACGAUCCUUGGAUGGAUGAUACAGCUCUAUGUGAGCGCUUCCCAGAUCUUUUUAAUAUUUGCCAUGAUCAGAAGAGCAUUGUUGCCUCUUGA
rnacentral:rRNA from 1 species